rnacentral:rRNA from 1 species
AGAGUUUGAUCCUGGCUCAGGAUGAACGCUAGCUACAGGCUUAACACAUGCAAGUCGAGGGGCAGCAUUUUAGUUUGCUUGCAAACUGAAGAUGGCGACCGGCGCACGGGUGAGUAACACGUAUCCAACCUGCCGAUAACUCCGGAAUAGCCUUUCGAAAGAAAGAUUAAUACCGGAUGGCAUACGAAUAUCGCAUGAUAUUUUAUUAAAGAAUUUCGGUUAUCGAUGGGGAUGCGUUCCAUUAGUUUGUUGGCGGGGUAACGGCCCACCAAGACUACGAUGGAUAGGGGUUCUGAGAGGAAGGUCCCCCACAUUGGAACUGAGACACGGUCCAAACUCAUACGGGAGGCAGCA